rnacentral:rRNA from 1 species
AGUGAACGCUGGCGGUAGGCCUAACACGUGCAAGUCGAACGGCAGCACAGUAAGAGCUUGCUCUUACGGGUGGCGAGUGGCGGACGGGUGAGGAAUACAUCGGAAUCUACUUUUUCGUGGGGGAUAACGUAGGGAAACUUACGCUAAUACCGCAUACGACCUACGGGUGAAAGCAGGGGAUCUUCGGACCUUGCGCGAUUGAAUGAGCCGAUGUCGGAUUAGCUAGUUGGCGGGGUAAAGGCCCACCAAGGCGACGAUCCGUAGCUGGUCUGAGAGGAUGACAACCCAAACUGGACUGGGACAACGUCCCAGAUUCUUACGGAGGGCAGCAGUGGGGAAUAUUGGACAAGGGGGGCAAGCCUGAUCCAGCCAUCCGGGUGGGGUAAAGAAGGCCUCCGGUUGGUAAAGCCCUUUUGUUGGGAAAGAAAAGCAGCAGGUUAAUACCCCGCUGUUCUGACGGUACCCAAAGAAUAAGCACCGCCUAACUUCGU